rnacentral:sRNA from 12 species
GGUAGCUACCGGCCUUGCUGACGAUAGUCAGCAACUCUAAUGCCGGUAGCGACCUGCCGCCGAGCGUAUGCAAGGGGGCGCUUCCUUGC